UCCAGUCUCCAACCAUAGGCCUCUUGCUUCCAAACUAGCUUCUAGCAUGUGAACCUGACAGUCGGUGGUGUUACUUCACCUACCACUGAAUUGUCUCAGCCCUAAAAUGAUAAAAUUACCAACCCAGUUGCCAGCACUGGCAAUCAUCUUGGAUUUUCUAAGCUGCCUCUUACCUCAGUGUCUGCAAGAGAGCACCUUCAGGGCCAUAUUGUUUUGACACUGACACAUUUGUAUCUGGCAGUCCUGGAGGGUUGAUUCAGUCAGGUAUCUCUGCUUAUGUUCCCCAUGGAUUUGAUCUGUUAUGCCUGCUGAGGUCACAUCACAACACCAAAAUGAGGACGUACAGGGAGUGGAAGUGGUGGGUCUGUCACAUGACCUUGCUAUCUGAAUCAUGGUAUGUCAACUCUUUACUCCCAGGUCACAGAAACAGCUUCUGCUUGUUCUCUAGUAUGUAUGUGUACAGAAUGAAGAGCUUAGAAGUAAGCAAAUAGUUAAAUAAGCAAAAACCAACCCAAACUUCAGUAUUUGAAAUACAGCAUCUGAUGUAGCUCGAAGAGCUCUGAAAUAUCACUAGAGGCUGCUCUUCUGUUCAUCCUUCCGACUACUAUAAGUUUGUAAGUAUAACACUAUCUUCCUGCCACUUACUUAGCCACAUACCUGGGUAAGAGCCUAGUAAUACUUUUACCUGUGUAUAGCAAACACAAGGGCCAGGGCUGCCACAGAUUUUUCA